AAGUCGUAACAAGGUUUCCGUAGGUGAACCUGCGGAAGGAUCAUUAACAAAUAUAAACCUUUUUUGUUUAUAUUAUUAAUAAUAAUAACCGUGUUCUGUUUUUUUUAUUGUUAAUCUUUGGCAAUUACUUUCUUGAAAAAGAAGUUUGCCAAAGUUUUUUUUUAAAACAUACUAUUUUAUUAACUGAAAAUUAUAAAAUUUUUUUAUAGUCUUUUUUUGAAAUGGGCGAAAUAAAAAAAUUAUAAAUAAUUUAAUACAACUGUUAACAACGGAUCACUUGGUUCUCA
rnacentral:misc_RNA from 1 species